UGUGGUGAUUCCUCAAGGAUCUAGAACUAGAAUGACCAUUUGACCCAGCCAUCCCAUUACUGGGUAUAUACCCAAAGGACUAUAAAUCAUGCUGCUAUAAAGACACAUGCACAUGUAUGUUUAUUGUGGCAGUAUUCACAAUAGCAAACACUUGGAACCAACCCAAAUGUCCAUCAGUGAUAGAGUGGAUUAAGAAAAUGUGGCACAUAUACACCAUGGAAUACUAUGCAGCCAUAAAAAAGGAUGAGUUCAUGUCCUUUGUAGGGACAUGGAUGAAGCUAGAAGCCAUCAUUCUCAGCAACCUAUCACAAGGACAAAAAAAACCAAACACCACAUGUUCUCACUCAUAGAUGGGAAUUGAACUAUAAGAAUGCUUGGACACAGGAAGGGGAACAUCACACACCGGGGCCUGUCGUGGGGUGGGGGGAGGGGGGAAGGAUAGCAUUAGGAGAUACACCUAAUGUUAAAUGACGAGUGAAUGGGUACAGCCAACCAACAUGGCACAUGUAUACAUAUGUAACAAACCUGCAUGUUGUGCACAUGUACCCUAGAACUUAAAGUAUAAUAAAAAAAAAAAGAGAUCCUGUCAUUUGUAACAGCAUGGAUGAAACUGAAUAUGAUUAUGUUAAUGAAAUAAGCCAGGUGCAUAAAGACAAACUUCACAUGUUCUUACUUAUUUGUGGGAUCUAAAAGUUAAAAAAAAUAGAUUUCAUGGACAUACAGAGUAGAAGAAUGGUUACCAGAGGCUGGGAAGUGUAGUGGGGGGCUAGCAGGGGGUGAGAAUUGUUAAUGAGUACCAAAAGAUAAACAUAAAAGAAUGGUCUCUCUGUCUGGGUAGGUCCAGCAGUGUUGGCCACACACAUCCCACUAGUGGUUGGGGUCACUGGCAUUGGUUGAAUAUCACCCCUGGCUUUGGCCAUGGCCAUGGGAGAGAUUUGGCACCCAGAGCCUCCAGGGGCCUCAGCUCAAUGUGCACUGCCCCAUGUGCAGCUGUGAAACCCAGGCCCUGAUGGGCACUGUGGCCUCUGCCCCAUUGUGGCCACUCACAUGGUCUAGCCCCUGGGUCUGGCCUCCAACCCCUAACUGUCUUCUCUCUGCAGGAAACUGGUCCUCCCACACCUGAGCCCAACACUGCCAGGUCUGUGGAAAGGGGGAGACUCAGCUGUUUCUGUUUUUCAAAUAAAACUGUUUGUCUAAAAGAAAAAAUAGAAAAAAAUGGAUAAAACCUACUAUUUGAUAACACAACAGGGUGACUAUAGUCAAUAAUAAGUUAAUUGUACAGUUUAAAGUAACUUAAUGAAUGUAAUUGGAUUGUUUAUAACUCAAAAGAUAAGUGCUUGAGAAAAUGGAUGCCCCAUUCUUCAUGCUGUGCUUAUUUUACAUUUAAUGCCUAUAUGAAAACAUCUCAUGUACCCCAUAAAUAUAUAUGUAUACCUACUAUGUACUCAAACAAAUUAAAAAAUAAAAUAAAAAGCGUAAACCAAAAAUAAAGUUCUAAGCCCCCCAACUAUCUAAACAGACCCCUCUUCUUGGUUGAAGGCAUUCCAAAAUUAACCUGAUAAACUGGUUUUGGUCAUGAUGGGAAGUGAGGGAGGUGUGUAAGACAUGCCUCACAGCUGACCAGCGUGCACAUCAACAAAAGACCUUAAGAAUGAUAGAACAGACUCUUUAAGUCUAAUCAAACAAAUUUACUAUCUAUUUUCCAUGAAGUGUGCUACCUGGGGGCUUCAUCUACAUGAUAAAACCUUGGUCUCCACAACCCCUUAUUAUAAUGCAGACACUCCUUUCUGUUGAUUCCAGGUGUUUAUAUAAUAACUCUUUCAACCAAUUGCCAAUCAGACAAUCUUUUAAUCCACCUGUCACCUGAAAGCCCAGACUUCCAGUUGUCCCACGUUUCCAGACAAAACCAAUGUACAUUUUACAUGUAUUGAUUGAUGUUUUAUGUCUCCCUAGAUUGUGUAAAACCAGUUGUAGCCCAACCACCUUGUGCACAUGUCGUCAGGACCUCCUGAGGCUGUAUCAUGAGCAUGUCCUUAACUUUGGCAAAAUAAACUUCUAAAUUGAUGGAGACUUGUCUCAGAUACUCUUAAUUUAACAAUUGGUAACCAUGAAGGAACUCUGAGUAGAGGUUCCCCUGACCUUUGUCAAAUCUAUCCGUGCUUGGUAACAGUUUGAGCUAUCAUUAUUGCUCAAACCAAUAGAAAAAUCUACUGGCCUUGGAGGCCCUCCUACAGAGAAUCUCUGGUCUCCCAAAAUUUUGUUAAAAUCUGAGACUUUGUAUGACUCCUUUUCUGGAGUUGUACUUUUUUCCAACAAGGAAGGUGAGUUUUCCUGAUUCCAUAACAAUGGAAAGCAGGCAACUCCCUCUGGAGUUUCAGCUUGCCUCCAACAGGGAAGAUGAGUUUGAGGUUUUUUCUGCUUCUAAAAUAGUAGAGAGCAGUCUUAUGCAUGGGCCCC
rnacentral:lncRNA from 1 species